GAAUUUUAUAAUUUUAUUUUAUAAUAAUUUAUUUAGUUUUUAUUUAAUAUAAUUAUUUAGUUGGGAGGACUCUUAAAUUAAUUGAACUUUAAGUUUUAUAAUAUCAUUUGAUUGUUGAAUUAUUUGAUUAUUGAUUUAUAUAUUAGAAUUAAUUACCUUAGGGAUAACAGCGUAAUACUUUUGUAUAGUUCUUAUAGAUAAAAGUGUUUGC
rnacentral:rRNA from 1 species